UGGGGGCAACCCUGAUCCAGCCAUGCCGCGUGAGUGAAGAAGGCCUUCGGGUUGUAAAGCUCUUUCGGCCGGGAAGAAAUCGCACAGGCUAAUACCCUGUGUGGAUGACGGUACCGGAAUAAGAAGCACCGGCUAACUACGUGCCAGCAGCCGCGGUAAUACGUAGGGUGCGAGCGUUAAUCGGAAUUACUGGGCGUAAAGCGUGCGCAGGCGGUUUGGUAAGACAGAGGUGAAAUCCCCGGGCUCAACCUGGGAACUGCCUUUGUGACUGCGAGGCUAGAGUACGGCAGAGGGGGGUGGAAUUCCACGUGUAGCAGUGAAAUGCGUAGAGAUGUGGAGGAACACCGAUGGCGAAGGCAGCCCCCUGGGCCGAUACUGACGCUCAUGCACGAAAGCGUGGGUAGCAAACAGGAUUAGAUACCCUGGUAGUCCACGCCCUAAACGAUGUCAACUAGUUGUUGGGUGGGUAAAACCAUUUAGUACCGUAGCUAACGCGUGAAGUUGACCGCCUGGGGAGUACGGGCGCAAGGUUAAAACUCAAAGGAAUU
rnacentral:rRNA from 1 species